CCUACGAGUGGCAGCAGUGGGGAAUAUUGCGCAAUGGGCGAAAGCCUGACGCAGCGACGCCGCGUGAGGGAUGAAGGUCUUCGGAUCGUAAACCUCUGUCAGCAGGGAAGAACGGUCACUGUGCUAAUCAGCAGUGAAUUGACGGUACCUGCAAAGGAAGCACCGGCUAACUCCGUGCCAGCAGCCGCGGUAAUACGGAGGGUGCGAGCGUUAAUCGGAAUUACUGGGCGUAAAGCGCUCGUAGGCGGUAUGUCAAGUCUAGGGUGAAAUCCCCGCGCUAAACGUGGGAACUGCCUUUGAAACUGGCAAACUGGAGUUUGUGAGAGGAUAGUGGCAUUCCAGGUGUAGGAG
rnacentral:rRNA from 1 species